rnacentral:rRNA from 1 species
AUUGAACGCUGGCGGCAGGCCUAACACAUGCAAGUCGAACGCGUGGCGGACGGGUGAGUAAUGUCUGUGAAACUGCCUGAUGGAGGGGGAUAACUACUGGAAACGGUAGCUAAUACCGCAUACCAUUUGAUUGGCCCAGAUGGGAUUAGCUAGUUGGGUGGGUAACUGCUCACCGAGGCUACGAUCCCUAGCUGGUCUUAGAGGAUGACCAGCCACACUGGAACUGAGACACGGUCCAGACUCAUACGGGAGGCAGCAGUGGGGAAUAUUGCACAAUGGGCGCAAGCCUGAUGCAGCCAUGCCGCGUGUAUGAAGAAGGCCUUCGGGUUGUAAAGUACUUUCAGCGGGGAGGCGUUACCCGCAGAAGAAGCACCGGCUAACUCCGUGCCAGCAGCCGCGGUAAUUC